rnacentral:lncRNA from 1 species
UGCGGAGAGUGGAGCGACAUUCAUUAUCGUGACUUGCCAGAGAGUGGUGGAGCUAUGCAGAAUCCAUCGCAGGAAGUGGAGCAGAAUCGUGGCUAUUACUGCGGCCUGCCGCAUGGAGCCUGUUGCGGGGAGUGGUGGAGCCGUGCAGAAUCUGUCGCAGGAGGUGGAGCAGAGUCGUGGCCAUUACUGUGGCCUGUCAGGGA